GCCAACUGUAACGGUGACUCUAUCGCCACAUCAUAAACCUUCGACGACAAAAUAUUCGUUAAAUACUCCAUCGCAUUUACUACGUCGCCGUUUCCUUCAUCCAUUGAACGUUCCGGUACCGCGCCUAAGUAACCUGACGGAUACCGCAGGGAAUUAGCAGACACCUUCUUCGGCGGCGAAGAAGGAACCACAGCAGAAGUUGGACGACGACGAAACGACAGCGUUAUCGAGAGAAGCAACGUUCUGAGAAGGGAUAUCAGCCGUCGGUUUCGACACAGCGGCUCUGAUCCACGGGCGGAUACAAUUCUUUGUAAUGUGGCGCCCAGUAAAUGAUGUAGUCGGGACCCUCUCUUUGUUGCGGAGUAGCGGCGGAUGAGGUGGCGUGAGGCGAAGAGCCUCCAUUGGUUUUAAAUUUUUGAAAAUUUAAAGAAAAAAAAUAGAAAAACCAAUGAGAAAACGUUGUGGUGAAAAGAAAAUACGCUUUCUGACUCUAAGACGUCGGGCGGCUUUUGGAGGGGACCUUAUAGUUUAUAAAGACAAAGGAGGGAGGGUAAAUGGUUUUUCAUUUGGCGCAAUUUUUGGAGUGAACAAAUGGAGGCUAUGAAAGAUUGACACCUGGUGAAAAUGACGUAAGCAUGUCAGUGUACCUGACGGGUUUCGUUCACUGCGGGUGACGGAUGGUAAGUGUUCUAUUUUAAAAUGCACAAGGAAGGAGUGUGCUCCGUUGACUCGAAACUCAAUACCGUGAGACAACAGACCAGACACGCUGUGUGGAAAGAAAGAUGGAGCGAGUUUCAUUCAAUUUCAAGUACGUUUUCCGUUGAAAUUUCCUUUUUAUUUUUUAUUUUAAGAGAAGAAAAUUCACACCCUUCCAAUAGGUAUUGUUGAGUCUCAAAUGUGAAAUUUUCAUAUUUGUUAGGAUGCAUUUCAAUGUAAAAAGAAAAAAAAGCUAACAAAUAUAUUUUUAAUUUCAUGAUAUAAAAAAUGAAACACUUUAUCUGUAAUUAUAUAAUCAUAAUUUAAAUUUAUUUAAAAUUUAUUGCUUAUAAAUAUAGCACUGAGGAUUUUACGUAAUAUUUUAUGAUUAAUUAAUUUUAUGACAUUAAUUUCAUAUAAUAUUCUAAAAAAAGAGAAAAACAUUGUUUCAAGGUGACAAUCAAUGUCAUGAAAUACAAUGUUAAAAAUGGAUUUUUGUUAUUUGUCUUGGGUUGUUUCUGUUAGCUUAUUAGAAUUAUUGAUUGUUAUGUCAUGGGAAAAUGACUACAAAGUUAGGCCAAAUUAACAAAGACUAUUGUCAAAGUUUAAUUAUAUAAAAUUAAGGCCAAACAAAGAUUAGCUCAAUCUAUGCCUAAGAUUAAAAAUCUUUCAUUAGUGGCUGAGAAAAUAUGAAACAUUACUCGAACACUACUAAAUCAUCAUCUUAAUCAAGAGAGGACAUUCUAAAAUCUUUACUAUAAAAUUAGGCCAACGAGUAUUGUCAAAUCUUAAUUAUAUAAAAUUAAGACCAAACAAAGAUUAGCUCAAUCUAUGCCUAAACUUAAAAAUCUAUAAAAUUUCAUUAGUGGCUAAGAAAUUACGAACGUUCCUCGAACACUAAUAAAUCGUCAUCUUAAUCUGAAAAAUGACAUACUAAAAUCUUUACUACAAAGUUAGGCCAAAUUAAGAAAGAUUAUCGUCAAAGCUUAAUUAUAUAAAAUUAAGGCUAAACAAACAAUGAUUAGCUCAAUCCCCACCUAAGCCUAAAAUAUCUAGAAAUUUUCAUUAGUGGCUAAAACUUAAUAAAUGUUACUCGAACACUACUAAAUCAUCGUCUUAAACUAAAAAGAGACACUCUAAAAUUCUUAAAUUUAGGUGAAUUUCGAUUAAUGUUUUGUUAAUUUAUUACUUGUUUAUAAUACAAUAAUAAUUAUAUCAUAUCCGUUGAAUAAUGCUCAUUAAAUUGUAUAAUUUGUAUUCGUAUAACUAAUGUUGUAAAAAAGUAAACAUUGUUUGUCAUUAAUUAAUACUAAUUAUGCUGUGGACUAAUGCUUGACUUCAUCGCCUUAGAUACGGUGUUGUGAAUUUAAGUCAUUUUAAAUUAGGGAAUGGUCAUGUGGGUUUAAGUCAUUUUAAAUUAGGGAAAUAGAAGGAAGGUGGAUAAGUAUGUGCAUGUGAAUUAAAGUCAUCAGUUUUGUACAAAAAAUAUUGUAAAAAUUCUUACUUAACACAAAAGAGGUGGCCAUAUGCUAAAAAAGUAAUUAAGGAUAUAAAUAGUAGUAUAAUCGAUUGAAUUUGAAUCGAUAUAGUAUUAAAUUUGAGUUUGAAUUUUACUUUAAAUUUGAGAUUUAAAAUUCGAUUUGAAUUCGAUUAAAUUUUAUUUUUUUAGUUAAAGUUCAAUUCGAAAUAAAAAUUAAGUCAUUGAGCUCGCUUGAUUAACAUGUAAAAAUAAAUUUUAUUUUAUAUUUGAUAAAAAUUCGAUUAUUUAUGUUCAAACUAAAAUUCGAAUUCGAGAUAUUUUAUUAAUUAAAAUAAUUAAAUAUAUUAUAAUAUAAAAACUCAAUUAAACUUUUAAGUAAUUCGAAUCGAAUAUAAAAAUGUUUGAAUUCGAUUUAAUCGAUAAAUCAAAUUAUUCGAAUUCAAGUUUGAUUCAAUAAUAAUCGAAUUAAAUUUAAAUUUUAUUUUAAUUGAAUCUAAAUAACUUACAAGUACUAAUAUAUUAUUUAUACUCUUAAAUAUAAAUACAGGUCUUAUUAAAAAGUUUUAAGUUAAAAAAUUGAUGGUGAAUUCUCCUAGUCAUAACCAAAAUAAUCAUGUUUCAUGUUGGAAUUUGAAAUUCCCUUUUCAUAUAUACAUCAUUUAAUAAAUGCUUUGGCCACUCACUCAUAUGCUUUUUCCUAUCUAAAUAAAAAUAAUAUUUUAUUAAAAUUUAAAAUUACAUUAUUUUAUAAAAAGUUAUCUCCUUUGCAGAUAAUGAAGUUUUUAAAUUCUAAAAAUAUGAAGAUCACACAUAUAUAUAUAUAUAUAAAUUAAAAAUAUAUAUAUGAUAAUUUUUAAUCUUAUUUAUAAAAUAAAAAAAUUAUACUGUUAGCGUACUCUUAUUUUAUUAUUGAGUACAUAUAUAACAAAUUAAUCAACCAUACACCAAAAGUUGGUAGACCUAAUUAUCAACCAACCAAUGUUUUCACAUAAUUACAUAAUUAAAGUUUCAGUAUAACCCUUAAUGCUUUUCUUUUUUUUUCUAGGAUAAUAUUUUUAUAGGCACCUGGCAGAAUAUAAUUGUCAUUGUCUUUGGAAUAAUUUUAAUAAAUAAAAAAUUCGAAUGAACGGCCUAAUACAUAAAUAUAUUAACUAUAUGUGUACGUAUCGGACUGGACAAUCAUGUUGUAAUAAAUAAAUAAAAUAAAUAAGAGUACGAGAUUCAAUUAAGGAGGCAAGAACCUAAAUGAAAAAAAAGAACUGGAUUGAUGCUGCCUUUCUUUCACCCAACAUCUUGAUUGUGGAAAAAAAUUUAAAAGUAAAAAUGUUUAAAAAUUGUUUUGUUAACAUAAAAUUUUUCAUAUAUAUAUUUUUUUGUUCACAUGCGUAUUUAGAAAAUUAUUUAUUUUUUAAAAAAAAUUCAGUCCAAAGAAAAAUUAGUUUCGAAUCUCACUGGAGUUUUGGACUUCUGGGGUCUCAAAAAGAGUUGUUGGCGUUAGAUAGUUUUGUUCAUUUAUUUAAUGUGCCAAGACUCUUGAUUAAAACAAAAAAAUAAAUAAUUUUUUGUCUAAUUCUAUUGAAAUGUUUUAUUAUAAAAAUUUAAAUGAAAGCAAGUUAUUUCAUUUCAAAUCAAAGCAUAUUAUAAAUUUAAAGAAAAUUUACAUUAAUUUUAUUAAUCAUUCAUAAAAAAUCGUUUGCAAUGAAAAGUUAAAAAUCAAAUAUAAAUCUUAUGAACAAAACAUUCCGUUUUUAUCUAUUUAACCAACAUCCUUUAAACUAAUUUUAUUAAAUUGUUAUUAAAGAUUUCUGUACGUUACAUGCAUUAGGUAAAGGAAAAGGACCAGUAGAACAUUUAUAAAAAAGAAACUUGUUAAAGAUGCUUUUUUUUUUAUUGUACAAAUUAUAUACUAGCUUAAAUAUAUUUUUACAGAAAUUAUUAAUUAUAUUAACAGUUGAAAUUUUUAAUUUUAUAAGUGAAUUUAAGAUAAUGAUAUAUAUUUUUUAAUGUAUAUUUAAAACAUUAAAAAAUUUUAAUUAAAAAAAAUAUGUAUUAUUAUUUUAAUUUCAUUUAUAAAAUUAAAAAAUUUUAUGUUAAUAUAUCAAAUAAAUGGUUAGAGGGUUGUGAGAAUGUAAUUUUUUAUGAAUAUUUUAGAUUCAGUAUAAAUAAAUUUUAAGACAAAUGAAUAACUUGGAUAAAUUAAUAAAAUUAAUUUAUAUAAAAUCUUGGGGUUGAAAAUUUGGUAUGGUGAUAAAUAAUGGGAAGAAAAAAAAAGAAAAAAAGAAACAAAUUUAGUUUCUUUUUUUUUUUUAAUAAAAACUCGUUUAAGGAAAUGAUAAGUAUAAAAAAAUAAAUAAAUAAUGGGAUAAAAGGUUCCAGAUGAUCCAUUGGACCCUUAAAGCUCCAGCCCUUAGCUGGUGGUUAGUGUGGUCCACAGACCCAAACACAACACAACUGAUGUUACCCAAACAUUAGUAAUGGUGAGAUUGGUAAAAAAAUGUGGCCUAAAAUCACCGUACGGGUCCAAUCAAACCAAUGAGGCCUAAUGUUCUAGCUAUUUUGAUUAACUGCUUGUCUUUUGGGUUUUAAGGAAAAGAUUUUGACCAACGUGUUUAAAUAUAAUUUUACUAUAAUAAAAUCUUGUAUAUGAUUUUUUAAAUUCAAAAUUAAUUUGACAUGACUAAAAUUAUUAUUAUAUUAAUAAAUAAUAUAUUUAUUUAAUUUUAUUUAAAAUAUUAAAAUAUUAAUAUUAAAAGUUUUUUAAUAUUUUUAUAAUUCUAUUCAAAUAAGAUUUUGAACAUGAUAGCUUAAGUUUGAGUUUGAUUUGAUUCAACUUGAAAUAUCAUUAUAUUAAUAAAAUAUUUUAUUUAAGUUUAAUUAAAAAGUUAAUAUAUUAACAUUAAAAGUCUUUUGAUAUUUUGAUUUUAAAUAUUUUUUGUAUAUUAUUAAAUAUAAAUAUUUUAAUAUUUCAAUAAUAAACAAUAUUCUAUUAUUAUAUUAAUAAUAAACAAUAACAUAUUUAACAAUAUUUUUAUUAUUCUAAUAAUUAAUAUUAAAUAAUAUAAUAAUAUUAUUUUAGUAAUAUGAAUAUUUUUAGUAAUUUCUUAAUUUUUUAGUUUAAAAUAUAUUAUUUAUAUUUUAUCUAUUAAGGUAUUUAUAUUACUAUUUUAACAAUAAAUAUAAAAAAAGAAUUGUUUUUGUUAAGAUUUAAUAAUAAAUACUUUUAAAAUAAAAAAUAAAUAUUUUAAUACUAUAAAUAUUUUGAUAUUUUAAAAAUAAAUAUUACUAUUUUAAUAUUAUAAUAAUUAUAAAAAUAAUAUUUUAAGAAUAGUAAUAUUAUUUUAAAUAUUUUAAUUUGUUAAUAUAAAGAAUAAUAAAUAGUUUUUUAUCUGUUUUUUAUAUUAGUAUAAUAUUUUAAUUUUAAAUAUUAAUAAAAUAUAAUUAUUUUUAAUAUUAAUAAUUUUAAUAGUAAAUAAUUUCAAAAUACUUUAAUAAUAGAUAAUUCUAAUAUUUAUGUCAAUAUUAUUUUUUUAAAAUUAAAAUUUUAAAAAAAUCAGAUAACAAAAAAUAUUUUCAUUGACUCAUGACUCAUCCAAAUAAUAGAUAAUAUAACUUUUUCCAAAAAUAUAAACAUUUUCUAUAAAAUAUUUUUUGAAAGUUAAUUUCCGUAAAACAAGCGAACCUUUUUGUUUAUUUUGGCAAUAAAAAAUAAAACAAACAAAAAAAAUGAAUAUACAAAACUAAAAACAAAAUAAUAAAAGUAAAAGCAUUUAUUAAAUGAGCUUGUUAUAAAAUUGUUUUUUAUCACCUAGUUUGUACCAUUUAUGAGUAGUCCAUUAACUAGGUUUGACAAUUUGUAUUCUCAUAUUGUGUUUCAUGCCAUAUUGAGAAGUGUAAUGAUAUGAAUUAUUGAAAUAUAAAUAUAAUAUGAAUUAUAAAAUAUAUUUAAAUUUUGAACACGACAUGUUUAUUAUACGUAUUACAUGCGACAUGAUAUAAUUAACAUAUGUAUAAUUAAUUUAUUUACACAUGAUAAAAAUAAAUACGAAUAACACGAAUAUAUAUGAAUAGAUAUGACUAAUAUGUAUAUAUACGAAUAAACACGACUAACUUGAAUAUAUAUAAAAAUAUGACUAAAAUAAUAAAUAAUUAUAAAUUAUCAAUCAAUUACAACUUAAUAAAUUUGAUGUACUACUUGCAUAUUAAAAAUAAUAAAAAAAUUAAAUACCCAUUUAAUAUGUACUUAAUAUAUAUAUUUAAAUUUUAAUAUAUAUUACAUAACUAUAAUAAUUUUUAGUAUUAAAUUCAAAAUGAUAAAUUAUUGAAGAUUAAAAAAUAAAAUAAUGAUGUAUAAGACUAGUAUUAAUAUUUAUAUUUUAUUUAUAUUAUUAAUAUAAAAAUAAUUUUAUAAUAAUUAUUAAAUAAGUAUCAUAAUGCAAGGUUUAAAAUAAUCUUUAUAUGCUAUUGAAAAACUAAUUAAGUAUCGUAAUUAAAAAAUUAAAAAUUAAAAUAAUUUUUAUGUGUUUAUAUUAAAUUAAAGUACAUAUAAAAAAUAUUUUAAAUACGGACUCAUAUGACAAAAAUAAAUUAAAUAUAUUUUUUGUGUCAGAAUACAUGUUAACAUGUAUCCGUAUGAUAUAUUUUAUCUAAACGCGACUUUCGUGUCUUACACAUUUAGAUUUAUCGAUAAAUAUUUAGAUGUAUUAAUACAUAUACCAUAUAAAUUAUAUCAUAUGAAAAUUUAUAUCAAUACAAAUAAAUAUAAAACAUAUUUUUUUAAAAUAUGUAUAUAUUAUUUUUUAUAUUAAUUUUAUAUCAUAUCAUCAUAUUAUAUAUGAAAUUAUCAGAUCUAUCAAUAUCUGAAAUGUCUUGCAAAAUAUAUGAUUUCAUAUUUUUGGAACAGUAUACAGCAAGCAUAGUAUCAGAGUAACCUCCAUAUGUAGUAGUUCCAACAAAAGUGCUUUGCCACUAAUUUUCAAGAUUCUUAGUGCAGUCACCGCAGGAGUGACAUGACUCAACCAUGCAACUUUAUCUUCAAUUUUGAUUUUUUUAACUUAUAGAAUAAAACCAGCAAAAUUAUAAUAUUCAAAAUUUAAAUUUAUUAAAUAUUAUUUUCUUAUAAAUAAUUAUAUAACUAAAAUUAAAUAUCACCUCUGUCACUGAACCAACAAUCUCAUGAGAUUGUUGAGAGUUGUUUAUAAUCUAUUAACCUACGCUUAAUUUAAUAAAUAGUGCGUGGACACUUGGACAGGCAACGUUGAUUUUAUACUGCAGGCUCCCAGGCUCCUCUGGCAAAACAGUUGCAAGCACUGCCUCCUGUUGUCUACCCACAUUAGCCAGUUCGGUAACCACUCUAAGCUUAUCAAAAUUCAUGUUUGCACCGCUAGUUAUUGCUACAACAUUCUUUCCCUUAAGGCUGUAAUAUUUGCAAUAUGCUUCAGCUCCCGCAAGGGCUAGGGCACCUGCUGGUUCCAGAAUGCUCCUCUUCUCUUCAAACAUGUCCUGCAACACAAGCAGUACAGCUGUAAAUCCUAAGCAUUCAAACAACCAUGUGUUAAUUAGAUGAAGGCCAUCAGUUAUCCAACAAAAACCAAUAGCACUAGUCAUACUGGAGAGACAACAUUAGACACGAGGAGAGAGAAAAAAUCAUAAGAAGGGCUUCUAACAUCCAUAAGGUUAAGAAUAAAUAAUUAGAGAACAAAUGGUGAUGGGGACAGGCCACACUCUUUCCCGAAAUGGGAAAUAGAACACCAUAAAACUGCAUAAAAAAUUCAAGUUAAACACCCAAUUUGUGAGCAAAACUAACCAGAAGUGAACUACCUUCAUAUGAAGAACCAAAGGCACAUUCCAAUUCCUAAAAUACUACAUCUAGAAUCCAAGUUAAAUCAAAGGUACAAUAUAUUUGAGCUAGAAAUUUGACACUUUGUUUCAAAUUACAAUUUUAGGUAUUUCAAGCCAGCAUUUCAGUUGUUUGCUCAAUUCACAACUGUAUCAUACAAGGACAGAAACGAAUAACUAAAAUAAAGAUUGACAACCUUAAGCUGUAUGUUAAGAGGCACAAAUGGCUCAAUGCAAAGAAGCCAUACCUUUAUAGAGGCACAAAUAGCAUCAUGGUUUACAAGAACGACACCAUCCACCAAUUUCCUACAUAAGCGAAAGGUUUCUUCACCGACUUCCUUAACAGCUACUCCAUCUGCAAAGCCCCCAACCUGGUCCAACAUCACUCUUUCGCCAUGAUGAAGCGACAAUGCCAUUGCAUUUGCAUCAAAAGGCUCCACUCCAAUAAUCUUCACCUGUAUAGUAAUACAACACUAAGUGAUGUGGAUGAAUUACGUCAUGCAGCAAGGAACAAGCACAUUCAAUGUAAUUUCAAACAAGAUAUAGUAUAUGUUUAUAUGAAGGACCCACAUACCCUCGGGGAAACCCUCUUAACAUAAGCAGCAAUGCCAGCUACAAGCCCACCACCACCAAUAGGUACAAAGAUUGCAUGCAAUGGGCCUGGCAUUUGGCGCACAAUCUCCAUCCCAACAGUGCCUUGUCCCAUGAUAACAUCUGGAUGGUCAAAAGGGGGAAUAAAUGUUCGACCUUCCUCUUUAGCCCGUUUUUUAGCAUAUGUUUGUGCCUCAUUAUAAGAAUCUCCAACGAGAACAACAGUUGCGCCCAACCUCUCAACAGAAUGCCACUGCAAAACAAGAAACCAAACAUUCAAAUUAAGAAACCUUAUGUGCUAUGCAAUUGAUACAAAAAACAUCACAAAAUAGCACCUUAAUUUCUGGUGUGGUAACAGGCAUAGCAAUAACAGCAUUGCAACCGAGUCUCUUGGCAGCCAAUGCGACCCCUUGGGCAUGAUUUCCUGCUGAUGAGCAAAUAACCCCUCUUUCUAACUGUCCCUUCGGAAGCUUUGCCAUCAUAUUAUAAGCUCCACGAAGCUUAAAAGAGAAAACCUGAAAAUAUGAAACAUCAAAUCUGUAAGCACUUUAUCUGAAUAUGAAAAACAAUAUUGAACUACAAAAAGAAAAGAUUUCCGCUUUGGCAAUUCAUUAACAGAUUAUAAAAACAAAGACUAAAUUCAACUAAAAAAACAUGUGAAUAUUUACUCAUAACAUCAAUGCAUCUCAGAGCACAUAAAUAAAAAACAAAUAGGGUUUAAUCCAAGCUAAAAAAAAACCAGUCCGUUAAGCUUAAAAUAAGUAAAGCAAAAUCAUAGAAUAUAAACAGUAUUAACUCCCAACACCUCACCAAUCAUAGAAACAAAUAUCAUUAGAAAUGAAAACCCAAAAACCUAAAAGAAAAAAAAAAUAACAAGAAGAUAUUUCGCCAAAUACAAAUUAAAAACCAAAAACUAGAACCUCAAUGGUUGCAAUUUUUAAAUGGAAAAAAGAACCCAAAUCAUGAAAUAAUCCCCCGAAAAAAAAAUCAAUCUUUCAAAAAAAUGAAAACUUUUCUUACAGGCUGUAAAUCUUCUCUCUUAAGCCAAACUUGAUUACCCAAUCGUUCAGACAACUUAGUCGCCAACUGUAACGGUGACUCUAUCGCCACAUCAUAAACCUUCGACGACAAAAUAUUCGUUAAAUACUCCAUCGCAUUUACUACGUCGCCGUUUCCUUCAUCCAUUGAACGUUCCGGUACCGCGCCUAAGUAACCUGACGGAUACCGCAGGGAAUUAGCAGACACCUUCUUCGGCGGCGCAGAAGGAACCACAGCAGAAGUUGACGACGACGAAACGAAGCGUUAUCGAGAGAAGUAACGGUCGGAGAAGAGAUAUCAGCCAUCGGUUUCGACACAGCGGCUCUGAUCCACGGGCGGAUACAUUUCUUUGUAAUGUGGCGCGCAGUAAAUGAUGUAGUUGGGACCCUCUCUUUGUGGCGGAGUAGCGGCGGAUGAGGUGGCGUGAGGCGAAGAGCCUCCAUUGGUUUUAAAUUUUUGAAAAUUUAAAGAAAAAAAAUAGAAAAACCAAAGAGAAAACGUGGUGGUGAAAAGAAAAUACGCUUUCUAACUCUAAGACGUCGGGCGGCUUUUGGAGGGGACCUUAUAGUUUAUAAAGACAAAGGAGGGAGGGUAAAUGGUUUUUCAUUUGGCGCAAUUUUUGGAGUGAACAAAUGGAGGCUAUGAAAGAUUGACACCUGGUGAAAAUGACGUAAGCAUGUCACUGUACCUGACGGGUUUCGUGCACUGCGGGUGACGGAUGGUAAGUGUUCUAUUUUAAAAUGCACAAGGAAGGAGUGUGCUCCGUUGACUCGAAACUCAACACCGUGAGACAACAGACCAGACACGCUGUGUGGAAAGAAAGAUGGAGCGAGUUUCAUUCAAUUUCAAGUAAGUUUUCGGUUGGAAUUUCCUUUUUAUUUUUUAUUUUAAGAGAAGAAAAUUCACACCCUUCCAAUAGGUAUUGUUGAGUCUCAAAUGUGAAAUUUUCAUAUUUGUUAGGAUGCAUUUCAAUGUAAAAAAGAAAAAAGAAAAAAAAGCUAACAAAUAUAUUUUUAAUUUCAUGAUAUAAAAAAUGAAACUCUUUAUCUGUAAUUAUAUAAUCAUAAUUUAAAUUUAUUUAAAAUUUAUUGCUUAUAAAUAUAGCAGUGAGGAUUUUACGUAAUAUUUUAUGAUUAAUUAAUUUUAUGACAUUAAUUUCGUAUAAUAUUCUAAAAAAAGAAAAAAACAUUGUUUCAAGGUGACAAUCAAUGUCAUGAAAUACAAUGUUAAAGAUGAAUUUUUGUUAUUUGUCUUGGGUUAUUUAUGUUGGCUUAUUAGAAUUAUUGAUUGUUAUGUCAUGCGAAAAUGACUACAAAGUUAGGCCAAAUUAACAAAGAUUAUCGUCAAAGCUUAAUUAUAUAAAAUUAAGGCCAAACAAAGAUUAGCUCAAUCUAUGCCUAAGAUUAAAAAUCUUUCAUCAGUGGCUGAGAAAAUAUGAAACAUUACUCGAACACUACUAAAUCAUCAUCUUAAUCAAGAGAGGACAUUCUAAAAUCUUUACUAUAAAAUUAGGCCAACGAGUAUUGUCAAAUCUUAAUUAUAUAAAAUUAAGACCAAACAAAGAUUAGCUCAAUCUAUGCCUAAACUUAAAAAUCUAUAAAAUUUCAUUAGUGGCUAAGAAAUUACGAACGUUCCUCGAACACUAAUAAAUCGUCAUCUUAAUUUGAAAAAUGACAUACUAAAAUCUUUACUACAAAGUUAGGCCAAAUUAAGAAAGAUUAUCGUCAAAGCUUAAUUAUAUAAAAUUAAGGCUAAACAAUGAUUAGCUCAAUCCCUACCUAAGCCUAAAAUAUCUAGAAAUUUUCUUUAGUGGCUAAAACUUUAUAAAUGUUACUCGAAUACUACUAAAUCAUCGUCCUAAGCUAAAAAGGGACACUCUAAAAUUCUUAAAUUUAGGUGAAUUUCGUUUAAUGUUUUGUUAAUUUAUUACUUUUUUAUAAUACAAUAAUACUUAUAUCAUAUCCGUUGAAUAAUGCUCAUUAAAUUGUAUAAUUUGUAUUCCUAUAACUAAUGUUGUAAAAAAGUAAACAUUGUUUGUCAUUAAUUAAUACUAAUUAUGCUGUGGACUAAUGCUUGACUUCAUCUCCUUAGAUACGGUGUUGUGAAUUUAAGUCAUUUUAAAUUAGGGAAUGGUCACGUGGGUUUAAGUCAUUUUAAAUUAGGGAAAUAAAAGGAAGGUGGAUAAGUACGUGCAUGUGAGUUAAAGUCAUCAGUUUUGUACAAAAAAUAUUGUAAAAAUUCUUACUUGACACAAAAGAGGUGGCCAUAUGCUAAAAAAGUAAUUAAGGAUAUAAAUAGGAGUAUAAUCGAUUAAAUUGGAAUUGAUAUAGUAUUAAAUUUAAGUUUAAAUUUGACUUUAAAUUUGAGAUUUAAAAUUCGGUUCAAAUUUAAUUAAAUUUUAUUUUUUUAAUUAAAGUUCAAUUCGAAAUAAAAAUUAAGUCAUUCCAGCUCGCUUGAUUAACAUGUAAAAAUAAAUUUUAUUUUUAUAUUUGAUAAAAGUUCGAUUAUUUAUGUUCAAACUAAAACUCGAAUUCGAGAUAUUUUAUUAAUUAAAAUAAUUAUAAUAUAUUAUAAUAUAAAAACUCAAUUAAACUUUUAAGUAAUUCGAAUCGAAUAUAAAAAUGUUUGAAUUCGAUUUAAUCGAUAAAUUAAAUUAUUCGAAUUUAAGUUUGAUUCAAUAAUAAUCGAAUUAAAUUUAAAUUUUAUUUUAAUUGAAUCUAAGUAACUUACAAGUACUAAUAUAUUAUUUAUACUCUUAAAUAUAAAUACAGGUCUUAUUAAAAAGUUUUAAGUUAGAAAAUUGACGGUGGAUUCUCCUAGUCAUAACCAAAAUAAUGAUGUUUCAUGUUGGAAUUUGAAAUUCCCUUUUCAUAUAUACAUCAUUUAAUAAAUGCUUUGGCCACUUACUCAUAUGCUUUUUCCUAUCUAAAUAAAAAUAAUAUUUUAUUAAAAUUUAAAAUUACAUUAUUAUAUAAAAAGUUAUCUCCUUUGCAGAUAAUAAAGUUUUUAAAUUCUAAAAAUAUGAAGAUCACACACACAUAUAUAUAUAUAUAUUAAAAAUAUAUAUAUGAUAAUUUUUAAUCUUAUUUAUAAAAUAAAAAAAUUAUACUGUUAGCGUACUCUUAUUUUAUUAUUGAGUACAUAUAUAACAAAUUAAUCAACCAUACACCAAAAGUUGGUAGACCUAAUUAUCAACCAACGAAUGUUUUCACAUAAUUACAUAAUUAAAGUUUCAGUAUAACCCUUAGCUUUUUUUUUUUAAUUUUCUAGGAUAAUAUUUUUAUAGCACCUGGCAGAAUAUAAUGUCAUUGUCUUUGAAUAAUUUUUAAAAAUAAAAAAUUGAAUGAACCCAAUACCUAAAUAUAUAACUAUAUGUGUACGUAUCGGACUGACAAUCAUGUGUAAAAUAAAUAAAUAAAUAAAUAAAAUAAAUAGAAGACGAGAUUCAAUUAAAGAGGACAAGAAAACCUAAAUAAAAGAAAGACUGGAUUGAUGCUGCCUUUCUUUCAACCCAACAUCUUGAUGUGGAAAAAAAUUUUAAAAAGUAAAAAAAUGUUAAAAACUUGGUUGUUACAUAAAUUUUUCAUAUAUAUAUUUUUGUGUUUCACAUGCUAUUUAAAAAUUAUUUAUUUUUUAAAAAAAUCAGUCCAAAGAAAAUUAGUUCAUCUCACUGGAGUUUGGACUUUUGGGGUCUCAAAAAGAGUUGUUGGCGUUAGAUAGUUUUGUUCAUUUAUUUAAUGUGCCAAGACUCUUGAUUAAAACAAAAAAAUAAAUAAUUUAUUGUCUAAUUCUAUUGAAAUGUUUUAUUAUAAAAAUUUAAAUGAAAGCAAGUUAUUUCAUUUCAAAUCAAAGCAUAUUAUAAAUUUUAAAGAAAAUUUACAUUAAUUUUAUUAAUCAUUCAUAAAAAAUCGUUUGCAAUAAAAAGUUAAAAAUCAAAUAUAAAUCUUAUGAACAAAACAUUCCGUUUUUAUCUAUUUAACCAACAUCCUUUAAACUAAUUUUAUUAAAUUGUUAUUAAAGAUUUUAUAUACGCUGCAUGCAUUAGGUAUAGGAAAAGGACCAGUAGAACAUUUAUAAAAAAGAAACUUGUUAAAGAUGCUUUUUUUUUUGUACAAAUUAUAUACUAGAUUAAAUUGUUUUUAGAGAAGUUAUUAAUUAUAUUAACAGUUGAAAUUUUUAAGUUUAUAAGUGAAUUUAAGAUAAUGAUAUAUAUUUUUUAAUGUAUAUUUAAAACAUUAAAAAAUUUUAAUUAAAAAAAAUAUGUAUUAUUAUUUUAAUUUCAUUUAUAAAAUUAAAAAAUUUUAUGUUAAUAUAUCAAAUAAAUAUAUCAAAUAAAUGGUUAGAGGGUUGUGAGAAUGUAAUUUUUUAUGAAUAUUUUAGAUUCAGUAUAAAUAAAUUUUAAGAUAAAUGAAUAACUUGGAUAAAUUAAUAAAAUUAAUUUAUAUAAAAUCUUGGGGUUGAAAUUUUGGUAUGGUGAUAAAUAAUGGGAAAAAAAAAAGAAAAAAAGAAACAAAUUUAGUUUCUUUUUUUUUUAAAUAAAAACUCGUUUAAGGAAAUGAUAAGUAUAAAAAAAUAAAUAAAUAAUGGGAUAAAAGGUUCCAGAUGGUCCAUUGGACCCUUAAAGCUCCAGCCCUAAGCUGGUGUGUUAUUUAGUUUCUUUUUUUUUUUUUAAUAAAAACUCGUUUAAGGGAAUGAUAAGUAUAAAAAAAUAAAUAAAUAAUGGGAUAAAAGGUUCCAGAUGAUCCAUUGGACCCUUAAAGCUCCAGCCCUUAGCUGGUGUGUUAGUGUGGUCCACAGACCCAAACACAACACAACUGAUGUUACCCAAACAUUAGUAAUGGUGAGAUUGGUCAAAAAACGUGGCCUAAAAUCACCGUACCGGGUCCAAUCAAAACCAAAUGAGGCCUAAAUGUUCUAGCUAUAUUUGAUAACUGCUUGUCUUUUGGGUUUUAAGGAAAAGAUUUUUGACCAAUGUGUUUAAAUAUAAUUUUACUUUAAUAAAAUCUUGUAUAUGAUUUUUUAAAUUCAAAAUUAAUUUGACAUGACUAAAAUUAUUAUUAUAUUAAUAAAUAAUAUAUUUAUUUAAUUUUAUUUAAAAAAUUAAAAUAUUAAUAUUAAAAGUUUUUUAAUAUUUUUAUAAUUCUAUUCAAAUAAGAUUUUGAACAUGAUAGCUUAAGUUUGAGUUUGAUUUGAUUCAACUUGAAAUAUCAUUAUAUUAAUAAAAAUAUUUUAUUUAAGUUUAAUUAAAAAGUUAAUAUAUUAACAUUAAAAGUCUUUUGAUAUUUUGAUUUUAAAUAUUUUUUGUAUAUUAUUAAAUAUAAAUAUUUUUAAUAUUUCAAUAAUAAACAAUAUUCUAUUAUUAUAUUAAUAAUAAACAAUAACAUAUUUAACAAUAUUUUUAUUAUUCUAAUAAUUAAUAUUAAAUAAUAUAAUAAUAUUAUUUUAGUAAUAUGAAUAUUUUUAGUAAUUUCUUAAUUUUUUAGUUUAAAAUAUAUUAUUUAUAUUUUAUUUAUUAAGGUAUUUUAUUACUAUUUUAACAAUAAAUAUAAAAAAGAAUUGUUUUUGUUAAGAUUUAAUAAUAAAUACUUUUAAAAUAAAAAAUAAAUAUUUUAAUACUAUAAAUAUUUUGAUAUUUUAAAAAUAAAUAUUACUAUUUUAAUAUUAUAAUAAUUAUAAAAAUAAUAUUUUAAGAAUAGUAAUAUUAUUUUAAAUAUUUUAAUUUGUUAAUAUAAAGAAUAAUAAAUAGUUUUGUUUUAUGUGUUUUUUAUAUUAGUAUAAUAUUUUAAUUUUAAAUAUUAAUAAAAUAUAAUUAUUUUUAAUAUUAAUAAUUUUAAUAGUAAAUAAUUUCAAAAUACUUUAAUAAUAAAUAAUUCUAAUAUUUAUGUCAAUAUUAUUAUUUUUUAAAUAAAAUUUUAAAAAAAUCAGAUAACAAAAAAUAUUUUCAUUGACUCAUGACUCAUCCAAAUAAUAGAUAAUAUCACUUUUUCCAAAAAUAUAAACAUUUUCUAUAAAAUAUUUUUUGAAAGUUAAUUUCCGUAAAACAAGCGAACCUUUUUGUUUAUUUUGGCAAUAAAAAAUAAAACAAACAAAAAGAAUGAAUAUACAAAACUAAAAACAAAAUAAUAAAAGUAAAAGCGUUUAUUAAAUGAGCUUAAAUGUUGAUAAACUUGUUUUUUAUCACCUAGUUUGUACCAUUUAUGAGUAGUCCAUUAACUAGGUUUGACAAUUUGUAUUCUUAUAUUGUGUUUAUGUCAUAUUGAGAAGUGUAAUUAUACGAAUUAUUGAAAUACAAAUAUAGCAUGAAUUAUAAAAUAUAUUUAAAUUUUGAAUACAACACGUUUAUUAUAUGUAUUACAUGCGAUACGAUAUAAUUAACAUAUAUAUAAUUAAUUUAUUUACACAUGAUAUGAACAAAUAUGAAUAAUACGGAUAUACACGAAUAGAUACGACUAAUAUAUAUAUAUAUACGAAUAAACACGACUAAUAUUAAUAUAUAUAAAAAUAUGACUAAAAUAAUAAAUAAUUAUAAAUUAUCAAUCAAUUACAACUUAAUAAAUUUGAUAUACGACUUGCAUAUUAAAAAUAAUAAAAAAAUUAAAUACCCAUUUAAUAUGUACUUAAUAUAUAUAUUUAAAUUUUAAUAUAUAUUACAUAACUAUAAUAAUUUUUAGUAUUAAAUUCAAAAUGAUAAAUUAUUGAAGAUUAAAAAAUAAAAUAAUGAUGUAUAAGACUAGUAUUAAUAUUUAUAUUUUAUUUAUAUUAUUAAUAUAAAAAUAAUUUUAUAAUAAUUAUUAAAUGAGUAUCAUAAUUCAAUGUUUAAAAUAAUCUUUAUAUGCUAUUGAAAAACUAAUUAAGUAUCGUAAUUAAAAAAUUAAAAAUUAAAAUAACUUUUAUAUGUUUAUAUUAAAUUAAAGUACAUAUAAAAAUAUUUUAAAUGCAGACUCAUAGGACAAAAAUAAAUUAAAUAUAUUUUUUGUGUCAGAAUACAUGUUAACAUGUAUCCGUAUGAUACAUUUUAUCUAAACGUGUCUUACAUAUAUUUAGAUUUAUUAAUAAAUAUUUAAACGUACCAAUACAUAUACUGUAUAAAUUAUAUCAUAUGAAAAUUUAUAUCAAUACAAAUAAAUAUAAAACAUAUUUUUUUAAAAUAUGUAUAUAUUAUUUUUUAUAUUAAUUUUAUAUCAUAUCAUCAUAUUAUAUAUGAAAUUAUCAGAUCUAUCAAUAUCCGAAAUGUCUUGCAAAAUUUAUGAUUUCAUAUUUUUGGAACAGUAUACAGCAAGCAUAGUAUCAGAGUAACCUCCAUAUGUAGUAGUUCCAACAAAAGUGCUUUGCCACUAAUUUUCAAGAUUCUUAGUGCAGUCACCGCAGGAGUGACAUGACUCAACCAUGCAACUUUAUCUUCAAUUUUGAUUUUUUUAACUUAUAGAAUAAAACCAGCAAAAUUAUAAUAUUCAAAAUUUAAAUUUAUUAAAUAUUAUUUUCUUAUAAAUAAUUAUAUAACUAAAAUUAAAUAUCACCUCUGUCACUGAACCAACAAUCUCAUGAGAUUGUUGAGAGUUGUUUAUAAUCUAUUAACCUACGCUUAAUUUAAUAAAUAGUGCGUGGACACUUGGACAAGCAACGUUGAUUUUAUACUGCAGGCUCCCAGGCUCCUCUGGCAAAACAGUUGCAAGCACUGCCUCCUGUUGUCUACCCACAUUAGCCAGUUCGGUAACCACUCUAAGCUUAUCAAAAUUCAUGUUUGCACCGCUAGUUAUUGCUACAACAUUCUUUCCCUUAAGGCUGUAAUAUUUGCAAUAUGCUUCAGCUCCCGCAAGGGCUAGGGCACCUGCUGGUUCCAGAAUGCUCCUCUUCUCUUCAAACAUGUCCUGCAACACAAGCAGUACAGCUGUAAAUCCUAAGCAUUCAAACAACCAUGUGUUAAUUAGAUGAAGGCCAUCAGUUAUCCAACAAAAACCAAUAGCACUAGUCAUACUGGAGAGACAACAUUAGACACGAGGAGAGAGAAAAAAUCAUAAGAAGGGCUUCUAACAUCCAUAAGGUUAAGAAUAAAUAAUUAGAGAACAAAUGGUGAUGGGGACAGGCCACACUCUUUCCCGAAAUGGGAAAUAGAACACCAUAAAACUGCAUAAAAAUUCAAGUUAAACACCCAAUUUGUGAGCAAAACUAACCAGAAGUGAACUACCUUCAUAUGAAGAACCAAAGGCACAUUCCAAUUCCUAAAAUACUACAUCUAGAAUCCAAGUUAAAUCAAAGGUACAAUAUAUUUGAACUAGAAAUUUGACACUUUGUUUCAAAUUACAAUUUUAGGUAUUUCAAGCCAGCAUUUCAGUUGUUUGCUCAAUUCACAACUGUAUCAUACAAGGACAGAAACGAAUAACUAAAAUAAAGAUUGACAACCUUAAGCUGUAUGUUAAGAGGCACAAAUGGCUCAAUGCAAAGAAGCCAUACCUUUAUAGAGGCACAAAUAGCAUCAUGGUUUACAAGAACGACACCAUCCACCAAUUUCCUACAUAAGCGAAAGGUUUCUUCACCGACUUCCUUAACAGCUACUCCAUCUGCAAAGCCCCCAACCUGGUCCAACAUCACUCUUUCGCCAUGAUGAAGCGACAAUGCCAUUGCAUUUGCAUCAAAAGGCUCCACUCCAAUAAUCUUCACCUGUAUAGUAAUACAACACUAAGUGAUGUGGAUGAAUUACGUCAUGCAGCAAGGAACAAGCACAUUCAAUGUAAUUUCAAACAAGAUAUAGUAUAUGUUUAUAUGAAGGACCCACAUACCCUCGGGGAAACCCUCUUAACAUAAGCAGCAAUGCCAGCUACAAGCCCACCACCACCAAUAGGUACAAAGAUUGCAUGCAAUGGGCCUUGCAUUUGGCGCACAAUCUCCAUCCCAACAGUGCCUUGUCCCAUGAUAACAUCUGGAUGGUCAAAAGGGGGAAU
rnacentral:lncRNA from 1 species